UGACGACCCGGGUACGACAUUGCGAGUACCGUGCUAAUAGGGUCUGAAACUGCAAAUCCUGAAUAUGGUUAUAUUUGUGAAAAAUCAAUAACAACCACGCAGUUAUCCACGACUACUGAUGGCAUAACAAUGCAGUCAUUUUCUAGCAGUAUUAUACCGUUAAGUUCCACUUAUCGUAUGCAUACAUCAGUAGUAGCCACGGUAAAUGGUGAACCCAAAGAACUGGUAUUAGUGAUGAGCCAAUUACGAAAACUAACACAGAAAAUAACAAAGAUUUAUUCAUGAUCAUGCUGGCGCCUGUGUUGCCGUUUGUUAUUGGUAGUGUAGUUCUAAUAUUACUCUAUAAGUUUCGUGAUCAAUUAUGCUGCAAGUCUAAGAGAGAAACGGAACACAAACUUACGAAUGGUGUAGAUGAGGUUAUGCCGUGUGAUAUAUACAAUAUAACUUUGGAUAAUGGCAAACAUUUAUGUAAAGAAAAGACAUCAGGGAAAAUGUUUG